UAGCAUUUUUGAAUUUAUAGAGAAAAUCUGAAUCCACUAGCUCGAUUAAGGAUUGAUAAGUAAGUCCGGAAUCAACUCUUCUCAAACAAAGCAAGCAGAGAUAGAAGAUACGUAAGAGUCUUUAACUCUGGUAUGCGAAAGAAUCUGAUUUUUAACAAAAAAAUUAAAGUUAUGUAUAAAAAAUUUAUUAAACACACGAUAAAAUCGAUGUAACAACGAUAUUUUUCUUUUGAAUUUAAUUUAACAUUACAUUUGACAAAAAAAAAUGAUAAGUGAAUACAAAAAAUAACAUUACCAACAU
rnacentral:sRNA from 1 species